CGUGCUAAUCUGCGAUAAGCGCCGGUAAGGUGAUAUGAACCGUUAUAACCGGCGAUACCCGAAUGGGGAAACCCAGUGUGACUCGUCACACUAUCAUUAACUGAAUCCAUAGGUUAAUGAGGCGAACCGGGGGAACUGAAACAUCUAAGUACCCCGAGGAAAAGAAAUCAACCGAGAUUCCCCCAGUAGCGGCGAGCGAACGGGGAGGAGCCCAGAGCCUGAAUCAGCAUGUGUGUUAGUGGAAGCGUCUGGAAAGGCGCGCGAUACAGGGUGACAGCCCCGUACACAAAAGCGCAUGUGCUGUGAGCUCGAUGAGUAGGGCGGGACACGUGGUAUCCUGUCUGAAUAUGGGGGGACCAUCCUCCAAGGCUAAAUACUCCUGACUGACCGAUAGUGAACCAGUACCGUGAGGGAAAGGCGAAAAGAACCCCGGCGAGGGGAGUGAAAAAGAACCUGAAACCGUGUACGUACAAGCAGUGGGAGCACAGGUUUACCUGUGUG
rnacentral:rRNA from 1 species